AGCGCGGGGCUCCGCCGUGCCCGGCGCCGGUACCUGCGAGCGGGCGGGCGGCCCUUCCCCCGUGCCGGCCGCGGGCCAUCGCUCCGCUCCCCCGCAGCGCCCCGCGCACUUAUUGAUUAUUUCGGUAGAGGGACGGGGCAUCGAUCCCUCCGUUCCCCUCCCCAGCCCGCUCGGAGGUGCGAGAGCCCCGCAAGUUUGCAAGCUCCGCGCCGCCUCCCUCCCCCCCACCUCUCCCGGCGCCGCACUCGGCUUGCCGGCCCGGGCUAAUUAAUUUAAUACAUUUAGAACUAAUUGUAUUUACUUUCGUCUCCUCAUCACCUCCCACCUCACCCCCCCCCCUCCCGUCUCCCUUUCCCCUCCGGGAGGGGGCUGGGGCCGGGCCGGGGGCCGUGGAGCGGCAGCGGCUGGAGAGGAGCGGAGCGGCUUCGGUUCGAACCUCGACAGCGCCAUCUCUCGUCCACAGUGUCUUAUUUUAUGGUGCAGAACUAAACAGUGUCCGCUGAAUUUAACUACGAAACCAGCCAAAUUGAUUUCAGAAAGACUUCUUCGGAGUAGCAGAGUGAUAAGGCAUAAACUGCUCCUAGGUGCAGUGCUAGAUAAAUCCUUUUAACAGUCUUCAGAUCAGUUAACAGGUAGUUGUUGCAGAAACAUAGAACAACCCCGUAUCUGAGAAGAGGGAAAAGAAGCAGCAGCGAAGAAGCAGAAUCAAUUACUCUGUGUGUAUAUGUGACAAUAAUUUCUUCUGUCAAUGUUUUGUUUAUUUUUAAUAAAGGGUGAGUGACUCAAAGGUUUGCUUUAGAAGGAGCAGAUGAAAAAAAGGCUCUCCACAGUGAAUUUCAUCUUUCUUCCCCCCAGUAUUUUCCGAUGGACUUUUCUCACUGGUGCUGUGCCACUGCAGCCUUUGCUCUGGUGUUGCUCCUGCUGACCCGCUGCACGCCAUGAAUGGAUGCUGCUCUACACCCACUUUCUCAUACAUUUCCCUUUUUCACCUAAUCCUGUUUUUAUGCUUGGUUUUACAUCCAAAUAAUCAAUAUAAUUUAGGCCCAUUCUGCAGUACUAACACAGCCUUGCUUAUUCAGAGAAAACCCCAACCCUAUUGACUUCAAAAACGGUGGGAUUGAAUCCUUGAUCCCAUUGAAACCAAUGACAAAACUUGUAUUGAUUUCGGUGGAAGCAGGAUCAGGUCCUUGAUGUUAGCAAUUUGUUUGUGUCAGAGGGCUGAUCCUACAAGAAAUGAAAGAAAGCAUAGAUCUGCUGGCAGGAAAUCAGGUCCGCUCCCCAAAAUUCAGAGGCGAAAUUCCCAGUUAACCAGUGAUGGAUCUCCUUCACGCUCAGGGUUUAUCAUCGUGGUAUGGCGUGGUAGGGCGCCUGUGUAAUUUUGUCUGGUCCUCCUGGGAGCAUUCAAAUGAGCACAUCUAUAAAUGUAGCACAGCAAAAUGAGCUACUUUUGCCACUCUCGCUUUUCGCGAGCCCGGUACAAUCCAUUUCUGUGACGACAGUUUUCUGCCCCAUACGCAUCCAAUACUGCUCUUUUAUUUUAAGGCUGAGAAAAUCUUCCCUUUAAACUCACGCUGAGCAUCAAAUUGGACUCCACUUGCAGCUGAACAUCUUGGCUGUCUCUUCCUUUCCUCCAUCAGCUCCAGUAUAUUUUAUGUAGAAUUCUCUCUGUUGAUGAAACUUGCUUCUCCUCUCUCUUCGCUUUCUGGUUUUGUAUUAGUGUUACCGAAUCCACCAGACUUGGCGCAUUUCAAAACUGUGCAAAAAGGGAGAAAAAAAUUGUUUUAUUUUCCUAUACAGUCUCCUAUUUGGCCAUUUUGCACAGACCCUGAAUAUGCAACCUAUUUUCAUUUGUCUGUACAGUUUCUAUUGCUAUAUUAGAAAAAAAGUAGCUUGAAAAGUCAGGCUUAAAGACACAUCUUGGUUGCUUUUGUGUUGCAUCCAAGAGGGCUUGUGUUUUAGCUCUAGAAAUUGUGAGGUUUUAGCAGCUGCUUCGAUUUUAUUCCCCUGGAAGUGCCUGACAGUCACUAUGUGGAAGACGCAGCAUCGGUGCUACACCUGAGUGCGUGAGUUUGCUCUGUCUACCCUGAGUCCUAAUGAAGUGACAGCUUUUUAGCAGUCAGAAUAUUUUCACUGAUCACUUAUAAUGUUCAUAAAUUGCUAGAAAUACUCCAAAUAACUUUGUAUGAUCCAGAAGCAGUUUCUCUACCUGGAGGGAAGACAGCACUGAGGUGCAACUGAAAAGCUGCAAGUGACUCUUAAGACGUGGCUGAAGGUUGGUGUCACCAGAUUUGCACUGUGCUUGUUUCAUGAUGCAUGUCCUAGUUUACUAAUUGUCAUGAACAGCUUUUGCCCAAAUGUAAAAAUCAAUGAAGACAUUUUUGAUGCUAUAAACCCUAUUUAUUUAAAAGAAAUAAAAACUGAAAUGGCAAUAAAGAUUUUUAUCAAGCUU